rnacentral:rRNA from 1 species
UGCAGUCGAACGAGAAGUACCCUUCGGGGUGCGAGUAAAGUGGCGAACGGGUGAGUAACACGUGGGUAACCUACCUUUGAGUGGGGAACAAUCCCUCUAACGAGGGGCUAAUACCGCAUAAUGCAGCGGCUCCGCAUGGAGACAGUUGUUAAAGGGGCAGCUUCGGUUGUCUCGCUUGAAGAUGGACCCGCGGUCCAUUAGCUUGUUGGUGAGGUAACGGCUCACCAAGGCAACGAUGGAUAGCCGGCCUGAGAGGGUGUACGGCCACACUGGAACUGAGAAAGGUCCAGUCCCCUACGGGGGCCAGCAGUCUAGAAAUUUGCGCAAUGGGCGAAAGCCUGACGCAGCGACGCCACGUGGAGGAUGAAGCCCUUAGGGGUGUAAACUCCUGUCAGAAGGGAAGAAUGCAGGAAAUAACUUUUCCUGUUUGACGGUACCUUCAGAGGAAGCCCCGGCUAACUUCGUGCCAGCAGCCGCGGUAAUACGAAGGGGGCAAGCGUUGUUCGGAUUUACUGGGCGUAAAGGGCGUGCAGGCGGACCGAUAAGUCGUCUGUGAAAUCUGUCGGCUCAACCAACAACUUGCAGUCGAAACUAUCGGUCUUGAGUACAGGAGAGGAGAGCGGAAUCUCAGGUGUAGCGGUGAAAUGCGUAGAUAUCUGGGAGAACACCGGUGGCGAAGGCGGCUCUCUGGCCUGAUACUGACGCUGAGGCGCGAAAGCUAGGGGAGCGAACGGGAUUAGAUACCCCGGUAGUCCUAGCUGUAAACGAUGGGUACUAGGUGUUGGAGGUAUUGACCCCUCCAGUGCCGCAGCUAACGCAUUAAGUA